CCAAGCUGGGAGCUUGUCUGCAGCCCCUAGCUGUCCAGGCUUUGUGGGGGAGUGCUCCAGCACCAGCACUUCCAGCCAGUCCCAAGAGGAGGCCACAGCCCCUGGCAAAGGGGAGUGGGUGUCCCAGUGCCUUGGCCUCCCUGAACCCAGGCAGGGGCUCAGGUGUAGGCUCAAAGAGCUGUGAUUUCCCAACAAACACAUUGCUGGGAGAGGAAAGUAAAAAAGGCCCAGAGAGGUGACCCCCAGGUUCCCACCCACCUGCCCCUGCCGGAAGCUGCUCUCCUGCCAGGCGGUCUUCAGAGCCGGGAACAGCAUGGAGCUCAUGGAUGGUUAAAGAGCAGAAGGGGCCGAGGGACAGCACAAGGAGGGCGGCGAAUGUCACCAGGAAGCCACUCAGUGUUGUGACCGUGUGUGUGGAGGCUCGCCAGGAUGCGGACAGGAGCAGAGAAGAAAGAUGACAUCGCAAGGAGUCACAGGUGAGGGCUUGGGGUCUCCAGACCAGGAGGCAAGCGACUCAGACUCCCCUGAGACUCACCCAUCUAACGGGGAAUUCCUGUGGCCGGAGGAGGUGACAUCACCUGUUUGCAAAUGAGAUGCACAGAUAUAUCGUCACAGCUCCGUUCCUGAAGGCUGCUGGGGCAGGUGCUGAGCCUUCUCCAAUGACUGCCCCGUAGUCAUUCCCAAUUUAUAGAUGAGACGACUGAGGCGCCAUCCAAGCCAGCGGAGUGAUGGAGUGGCAGGCAGGCCCAGGGAGCAGUUCUACCCACCCACCCGCCUGUCCUGCAGGAUAAGCCUGUUGAUGCAAACCCGCCCCCGCCCAGCAAUGGGGAAACGAGGAAACGGAUCACUGAGCAGGGGGCAUCCGCAGCCACCGGGGCAGGCAUCGUCAUCGCCCAGUCACCGUCACCCCUGCCCACAGAGACUUCAGAGGCACCGAGUGCCUUUGGCAUCAAUCAGCCCGUGGAAGUCUCCCAACCCUGCAAAAGAGGCAAGAUCUCCUCCCAACUUGUGGGUUACAGUUGAGGGAACACAAACUUUGCUCGGCUAGGUCACGCAGCUGCUACCCCGUGGCGCCAGGAGCUCUGACAGUGCCGCCAAGGUGGAAGAGAUGGGAUGGGGGUUCCACGUGCUCGGUUCCAGACAUCGGGUAAAGUGAGGCACUGGCACCCAUGCUCAUCACCCCCGGGGGCUGGGGAACAGCCCCGCAGUGAGGGUGUGAGCCACGCCCCUCUCUGCACAGCGGCGCUGUGGCUGCAGGCUCCCUAGGUUUGCGGGCAGGAAGGGGAAUUUGGCACGGCUCCCAGCCAUGCUCUUGCAGCCAGGCUCAAGUUCUCUGCCCCAAUACCAGGAGGCGCAGGAGUUCAGUGGACACAGAGACCAACGCCUCCGUUGGCCCCACCUCCAGGAAGUACGUAGGUGGACUCAACCAAACAGCACAGGGCAUUCACUGGCCCCCGGCACCUGCCUCAAGUGUGAGCUUGUGGCCCGCGUUGGGCCUGUCAACUUAAAUGGCGGUCAGAGACAGAGUUUGCCAAGAGUCACAUUUAUUUGGAAAUAGCGGAGCACUGCCUCGGGAACCCAGGUGCCGAGGUAAACGCUGGGCGCAUGCGCAGAGGUCCCAGCCAGGGGUCAGGGAGAUUACUGAGGUAAAGCUGCUUGGAGACAAAGCUCGUGGGUCUUGGAGACACGAGGGAGGAACUGGCCUGAGCUCAUGGCCGGAGGUGCCAUUGCUGGGAGUGAUCUGUCCAGGACACUGUGAAGGGGCCAGCGUUGCGGCGCAGUGGGGGAAGCCACUGCUCGUGACGCGGCACCCCGCAUCCUAGCGGAGCUCCGGCUCAAGUCCCAGCUGCUCCACUUCCCUUCCCGCACCAAUGCCAAUGCCCCUGGGAAGGCAGUGGAAGGUGGCCCAAGUGCCUGGGGCCCUGUACCCCAUGGGAGACCCGGAAGAAGCUCCUGGCUCCGGAUCGGCGCAGAUCCAGCCAUGCGGCCAUCUGGGGAGUGAACCAGCGGACGGAAGGCCCCUCUCUCUGCCUCUCCCUCUCACUGUCUAUAACUCUACCUCUCAAAUAAAUAAAUAAAAUAUUUCAAAAAAAGAAUAUCCAGGACAGAGAGAUGCCAACAAAAGCAGUUACUCAUACACAUAUUCACAAGAGCUAAGGAAACCAGGUAGGGGCCCGCAGAGCCUGAUUUUAGUGUAACAAGAAGCGGAAGGCGGGGAAGCGGAAGUGGCGGCAGCAGCAACAGCAGCAGCAGCA